rnacentral:rRNA from 1 species
GACGAACGCUGGCGGCGUGCUUAACACAUGCAAGUCGAACGGAAAGGCCCUGCUUUUGUGGGGUGCUCGAGUGGCGAACGGGUGAGUAACACGUGAGUAACCUGCCCUUGACUUUGGGAUAACUUCAGGAAACUGGGGCUAAUACCGGAUAGGAGCUCCUGCUGCAUGGUGGGGGUUGGAAAGUUUCGGCGGUUGGGGAUGGACUCGCGGCUUAUCAGCUUGUUGGUGGGGUAGUGGCUUACCAAGGCUUUGACGGGUAGCCGGCCUGAGAGGGUGACCGGCCACAUUGGGACUGAGAUACGGCCCAGACUCCUACGGGAGGCAGCAGUGGGGAAUAUUGCACAAUGGGCGGGAGCCUGAUGCAGCAACGCCGCGUGCGGGAUGACGGCCUUCGGGUUGUAAACCGCUUUCGCCUGUGACGAAGCGUGAGUGACGGUAAUGGGUAAAGAAGCACCGGCUAACUACGUGCCAGCAGCCGCGGUGAUACGUAGGGUGCGAGCGUUGUCCGGAUUUAUUGGGCGUAAAGGGCUCGUAGGUGGUUGAUCGCGUCGGAAGUGUAAUCUUGGGGCUUAACCCUGAGCGUGCUUUCGAUACGGGUUGACUUGAGGAAGGUAGGGGAGAAUGGAAUUCCUGGUGGAGCGGUGGAAUGCGCAGAUAUCAGGAGGAACACCAGUGGCGAAGGCGGUUCUCUGGGCCUUUCCUGACGCUGAGGAGCGAAAGCGUGGGGAGCGAACAGGCUUAGAUACCCUGGUAGUCCACGCUGUAAACGGUGGGUACUAGGUGUGGGGUCCAUUCCACGGGUUCCGUGCCGUAGCUAACGCUUUAAGUACCCCGCCUGGGGAGUACGGCCGCAAGGCUAAAACUCAAAGGAAUUGACGGGGCCCCGCACAAGCGGCGGAGCAUGCGGAUUAAUUCGAUGCAACGCGUAGAACCUUACCUGGGUUUGACAUGGAUCGGGAGUGCUCAGAGAUGGGUGUGCCUCUUUUGGGGUCGGUUCACAGGUGGUGCAUGGCUGUCGUCAGCUCGUGUCGUGAGAUGUUGGGUUAAGUCCCGCAACGAGCGCAACCCUUGUUCACUGUUGCCAGCACGUUAUGGUGGGGACUCAGUGGAGACCGCCGGGGUCAACUCGGGGGAAGGUGGGGAUGACGUCAAGUCAUCAUGCCCCUUAUGUCCAGGGCUUCACGCAUGCUACAAUGGCUGGUACAGAGAGUGGCGAGCCUGUGAGGGUGAGCGAAUCUCGGAAAGCCGGUCUCAGUUCGGAUUGGGGUCUGCAACUCGACCUCAUGAAGUCGGAGUCGCUAGUAAUCGCAGAUCAGCAACGCUGCGGUGAAUACGUUCCCGGG